rnacentral:lncRNA from 1 species
AUGGCAGGAGGCCCUGUGGCCAUUGGCAAGGCUGAAACAGGGAUCAUUGAGCUGAAACAGGGUUCUGGAGCACAAGGCCUGUGGGAGAAGAGUCACGUCAGAAGGGGACCAAGGCCUGGCUCUGGGAAGGUGGCCCCACUCCCUUCUCAGGAAGGUGUUGCUGCAGGAAGAACAGGCGUGUCGGGCCCCUCCAGAACCAGGCUCUUGGCCCCUCCAGAACGAAGCUCCAGGCUCCUCCAGAAUCAGGCUCCAUGCCCCUCCAGAACCAGGCUCCUGGCUGCUCCAGAACCAGUCUCCAGGCCCCUCCAGAACCAGGCUCCCAGCUACUCCAGAACCAGGCUCCAGGCCCCUCCAGAACCAGGCUCCAGGCUCCUCCAAAACCAGGCUCCUGGCUGCUCCAGAACGAGGCUCCAGGCCCCUCCAGACCAGGCUCCAGGCUCCUCCAGAACCAGGCUCCAGGCUCCUCCAGAAUCAGGCUCCAGGCCCCUCCAGAACCAGGCUCCAGGCUCCUCCAAAACCAGGCUCCUGGCCCCUCCAGAAUCAGGCUCCCAGCUACUCCAGAACCAGGCUCCAGGCCCUUCCAGAACCAGGCUCCAGGCCACUCCAGACCAGGCUCCUGGCCCCUCCAGAAUCAGGCUCCAUGCUCCUCCAGAACCAGGCUCCAGGCCCUUCCAGAACCAGGCUCCAGGCCACUCCAGACCAGCCUCCAGGCUCCUCCAGAACCAGGCUCCAGGCCACUCCAGAACCAAGCUCCAGGCUCCUCCAAAACCAGGCUCCAGGCCCCUCCAGAACCAGGCUCCAGGCUCCUCCAGAACCAGGCUCCAGGCCCCUCCAAAACCAGGCUCCAGGCCCCUCCAAAACCAGGCUCCAGGCCCCUCCAGAACCAGGCUCCCAGCUACUCCAGAACCAGGCUCCCAGCUACUCCAGAACCAAGCUCCAGGCUCCUCCAUAACCAGGCUCCAGGCCCCUCCAGAACCAGGCUCCCAGCUACUCCAGAACCAGGCUCCAGGCCCCUCCAGAACCAGGCUCCAGGCCCCUCCAAAACCAGGCUCCAGGCCCCUCCAGAACCAGGCUCCCAGCUACUCCAGAACCAGGCUCCCAGCUACUCCAGAACCAAGCUCCAGGCCACUCCAGAACCAGGCUCCCAGCUACUCCAGAACCAAGCUCCAGGCUCCUCCAGAACCAGGCUCCAGGCCCCUCCAAAACCAGGCUCCCAGCUACUCCAGAACCAGGCUCCAGGCCCCUCCAGAACCAGGCUCCCAGCUACUCCAGAACCAGGCUCCAGGCCACUCCAGACCAGGCUCCAGGCCCCUCCAGAACCAGGCUCCAGGCCCCUCCAGAACCAGGCUCCCAGCUACUUCAGAACCAAGCUCCAGGCUCCUCCAGAACCAGGCUCCAGGCCCCUCCAAAACCAGGCUCCUGGCCCCUCCAGACCAGGCUCCAGGCCCCUCCAGACCAGGCUCCAGGCCACUCCAGACCAGGCUCCAGGCUCCUCCAGAACCAGGCUCCAGGCCACUCCCAGGGACAGACCGUGCUGCUCCCUGA